CGAAAAAGAGCUCCAGCAUGGACCUAUGGGAGGUACUGGAUCUGACAGCUGUAUGGGGAGACGAUUCUGUGCUAGCAGAUCUAUGUUCCAAAAGAUGGAAUACCAAAAUAUUUGAAUAAGUCUCCCAGGGAAUGAUGGAGAGAGGACACAAUAGGGACUCCCUACAGUGCUGCGUGAAAGUUAAGGAGCUCAGACAAGCCUACUGGAAAACCAAAGCAUCAAGCAGACAGUU